CUGAAAAGGUAUGAAAGGCUCAUCAGAUACCAGCCACCAUUGGAAAGAAACCCUUAAUAAUCCUACAAAGAUCUUUCCCUCAUAGAAGUAUGAGGAUGUGAAGACCAUGAGUCAUUUUACCAAUAUGGAAACAGAGGCCCAGAGAGCCCUGGGAAUAUAAACAUAUUCCCAAGACCACGGAGUCCCAGCUGGGCUCCCACUGUGACUUGGCCCACGGGACAGAAGGAAUGGAACCAGGAAAGCAGAGACCUGUGAAAUGCACCUGCUGGCUCCUCCCCCUUGAUCUGGACAGAGAUGUGGGAUACCUGUUCACCAUUCAUUAGAUGCUCGGGAAGCCUUGCUAAUUAGAUGAAAAUAAAGGAAAUGAAAA